GAUGAACGCUGGCGGCGUGCCUAAUACAUGCAAGUCGAGCGAAUGGAUUAAGAGCUUGCUCUUAUGAAGUUAGCGGCGGACGGGUGAGUAACACGUGGGUAACCUGCCCAUAAGACUGGGAUAACUCCGGGAAACCGGGGCUAAUACCGGAUAACAUUUUGAACCGCAUGGUUCGAAAUUGAAAGGCGGCUUCGGCUGUCACUUAUGGAUGGACCCGCGUCGCAUUAGCUAGUUGGUGAGGGAACGGCUCACCAAGGCAACGAUGCGUAGGCGACAUGAGAGGGUGAUCGGCCACACUGUGACUGAGACACGGCCCAGACUCCGACGGGAGGCAGCAGUAGGGAAUCUUCCGCAAUGGACGAAAGUCUGACGGAGCAACGCCGCGUGAGUGAUGAAGGCUUUCGGGUCGUAAAACUCUGUUGUUAGGGAAGAACAAGUGCUAGUUGAAUAAGCUGGCACCUUGACGGUACCUAACCAGAAAGCCACGGCUAACUACGUGCCAGCCGCCGCCGUAA
rnacentral:rRNA from 1 species